GCAUGGCAAUGGAUUUAUGAAGAGGUCUGUGAGGUGACCCCUUCAUAGUGUACCCCAUGCUAAAGUGAGCUGCUGUUCCGAACCAUUGGCACGUCCGAAUAAAUGUGGGCUUGACCACUGAAGUGAACUGCACAGUU
rfam:Xenopus laevis strain J chromosome 8S, whole genome shotgun sequence.